rfam:Mesocricetus auratus contig047250, whole genome shotgun sequence.
GGGGAGGUGGCUCAGUGGUUAAGAGCACUGGCUGCUCUUCCAGAGUACCUGAGUUCAAUUCCCAGCACCCACA